rnacentral:rRNA from 1 species
CACGGGGGGAGCAAGCGUUGUUCGGAAUCACUGGGCGUAAAGGGCGUGUAGGCGGUCAAGUAAGUGGAAUGUGAAAGCCCCCGGCUUACCCGGGGAUCUGCAUCCCAAACUGCUUGGCUUGAGUACGGGAGAGGAUAGGGGAAUUCCUGGUGUAGCGGUGAAAUGCGUAGAUAUCUGGAGGAACACCGGUGGCGAAGGCGGCAUCCUGGACCAACACUGACGCUGAGGAGCGAAAGCCAGGGGAGCAAACGGG